CCCUAGAGUGUUACAAAUUUCUUGUGUGCCUUUUUUCCAAUAAAAAUGCUAUAAGACUUAAAACUCAAUUGUCACGUAUUUUGCAUCACAUUUAUAAAUGAUCUGUAUGGAAAACUUGGCGAUUUUACUGCCAGAUAUUCUCCACUUUACAGGGUUUUGUCACUUUUGGUUCAUGUCAGAUAUAAAUAAUUUAGCGGCAUCGUUAACAUAAUCAUUCUGAUAUGCGGAUCACAAAAGGCCAUCCCUACAUAGAAUACAACGUCCGUUUACAAAUUAGUUUGUACACACGUUAAUACUUUUGUAUCAAACAAACUUUUUUGUAAAUGAACCCUGCUCUUUAAGUUUAAAGGUACAGAGUAACGUACUUCAUAUAAUGAUUUCAGAA
rnacentral:lncRNA from 1 species